GACGAACGCUGGCGGCGUGCUUAACACAUGCAAGUCGAACGGUAAGGCCCUUCGGGGUACACGAGUGGCGAACGGGUGAGUAACACGGGGGUGAUCUGCCCUGCACUGCGGGAUAAGCCUGGGACACUGGGUCUAAGCCCGGAUAGGACGCCUGGCUUCAGGGGUGGGGGUGGAAAGAUUUUGCGGUGUGGGAUGGGCCCGCGGCCUAUCAGCUUGUUGGUGGGGUAAUGGCCGACGAAGGCGACGACGGGUAGCCGGCCUGAGAGGGUGACCGGUCACACUGGGACUGAGAUACGGACCAGACUCCUACGGGAGGCAGCAGUGGGGAAUAUUGCACAAUGGGCGCAAGCCUGAUGCAGCGACGCCGCGUGAGGAAUGACGGCCUUCGGGUUGUAAACCUCUUUCAGCUAUGACGAAGCGCAAGUGACGGUAGUAGCAGAAGAAGGACCGGCCAACUACGUGCCAGCCGCCGCCGUAA
rnacentral:rRNA from 1 species